rnacentral:sRNA from 1 species
GCUGGGCAUGGUGGCUCAUUCCUGUAAUCUCAGCAGAUCUGGAGGCUGAAGCAGGAGAUUCACUAGUUCAAAGCCAGCCUUAGCACUUAGUGAGGCACUAAGCAACUCAGUGAGCCCCUGUCUCAA